UAACUACUUUGAAUUGUAUGAUUUUAUCAAAUUAUUAGCGGUAUGGGCUUGUCGGUGUCCGUGUCCUCUCCGUGCUUCAUAGCUCUAGAGUGUCAAUAUUGAUUUACAUUUAGGUUUUUUAAAUUGUGGUUUGUUUAUAGUUAGAUGGAGAAAGUUCAUUUAUCUCUCAUUGUUCAUCUCUAUUUAUUCUUUAAUCUAUUUUAUAUAAUUCGGAAUCAUGUUUCUUACUGCCUGCAACUGAGAACAUAAAUAGUGAUAAUCAUAUUGGUAAGUGGGACUUUGUUUAGAGGGUAACUUAUGAUGUCUUUUAUUUCAGAUUUCAGGUACCGUCUAUCUAUCAUAUAUUAUUUUUAUGUGUGUGAGAUGUCAUUAUCGCUGAAAGUGAAAAUAUGCCAGUGUUUGUUACUUGAAUUAGUUUUUGGUGCUUCUGUUUAGUAUGAAAUGUUCUUAUGUGAUAUAUAAAUACAAAAUUUGACAUUUUUAGAUAUUUUGCUAAUUCCAUCAUUGAUAUUUUGAUAGUAUGGCAUCUGGUUAGUUUGCCAAUAUAUGGUAGAUAUUUUGGUAACAUCUUUGUGUAACAAUAUGGUUGUCUUGACAUUUUACAGUGC
rnacentral:lncRNA from 1 species